rnacentral:rRNA from 1 species
GGGGAAUUUUGGACAAUGGGCGCAAGCCUGAUCCAGCCAUUCCGCGUGCAGGAUGAAGGCCCUCGGGUUGUAAACUGCUUUUGUACGGAACGAAACGACUCUCUCUAAUACAGGGGGUUAAUGACGGUACCGUAAGAAUAAGCACCGGCUAACUACGUGCCAGCAGCCGCGGUAAUACGUAGGGUGCAAGCGUUAAUCGGAAUUACUGGGCGUAAAGCGUGCGCAGGCGGUGAUGUAAGACAGAUGUGAAAUCCCCGGGCUCAACCUGGGAACUGCAUUUUGUGACUGCAUCGCUGGAGUGCGGCAGAGGGGGGAUGGAAUUCCGCGUGUAGCAGUGAAAUGCGUAGAUAUGCGGAGGAACACCGAUGGCGAAGGCAAUCCCCUGGGCCUGCACUGACGCUCAUGCACGAAAAGCGUGGGGAGCAAACAGGAUUAGAUACCCUGGUAGUCCACGCCCUAAAACGAUGUCAACUGGGUUGUUGGUCCUUCACUGGAUCAGUAACGAAGCUAACGCGUGAAGUUGACCGCCUGGGGAGUACGGCCGCAAGGUUG